GCCUUCGUGGCGUAGUGGUCAGAACGCUCGACGCGCAUUCGAGAGGUCCGUGGUUCGAGUCCCGGCGACGGCA
rfam:Stegodyphus mimosarum contig51693, whole genome shotgun sequence.